UAUUUCUUAAUUAUAAACUCAUGAUCAUUUCCUAAAUUAGCCUAUAUGUAGCUCCCUCCCAACCAUCUUCAACACAUAUCCAAGAUAGACAUCGACAACUAUGUGAAGGGUAAGUCUCUACUCUCUAUAUUUAAUUUGAAGGCCCUUGCAUGAGCACAAGAAUGCCUUUUCAUAUAUUUUACAUUUCUACUUCAUCCCAUUCUUCCUCCACUUCAAAUAAGUGAUAAUCUGUCUUUACAAGUCUUUGGAGAUCUACAACUUUGCCCAAGAGUUCUAUCCUUCAUUCUGACUCCUUUAAAUACGCUCUUAUCUACCCAGACCUUCACAGUAGCCCGAGUCCAUUAAUAUUGAGAGUUGUCAUUAGCAAUUUCAGCUAUGUAAGCAUUUUUUUUUGCUGAAAUAUUGUAAUUUCUUAUAUUAGUCAUAGACUGAGAAUCGAUUAAGCUAACAUUAUAAUGUAGUUAGCCCUCCUAAAAAAUUCUUGCUGUUGUUGCAAGUUAUCAGAUCUCAAAAUAGGUUUCAACAUUCAAUAGAAGAAUAAGAAGCGUGGAUAUAUAGACGCCUGGUUAGUUAAAAAGUAAUAUUAGAAAAUCCCUUUGAUCAUCAGCAAAAAUCUUAAAUAAAAUUGAACUUUGAUGGGUAGGAUUCUAACUAAUUUGGUACAGUGAAAAAGGAGAGGAAAGAAGAACGGCAAUGAAAUCAAAUUAAACAGUAUGGAAACAGAAAAUUGGUGGCUGCAAAGUGGUGAAUGAUGAAGGAGUUUGAACGAGAAAAGGAUAGAGUCAAUGCAUGGUUGGUCAUAUCAGUUGCUAUAGUGCUCAUAUUAUGAGGUUAGAGGGGUCUGCCCUAUCAGGUUGAAUAGUAGAAGAGAUGAUACGGAUGUUGAAUUUGGCACUGCUUCAAAACUAAACAGUUCUUACUCUGUUUCCCAACUGUUUAUGCUUCUGCAUAGGAAUCAUCUUUAUUCACGAACGUCUACUUAAGGUAUGCUACACUGAUCAAAUUUCGCCCAACUUUAGAUCAACAUGUAGGACAUUGUGAUUUGUUCGUAAGAUAGUUUCAGAUUUUGAGUUAGUUUAGUUUAGAAACGUUUCAUUUUUAUGCUGUUGGUGUGGUUUUUGAGAGCGUCAAAUAAUAAACUCGUGUACUUUGAUUGAUGGUCGAUAAAUUUCAAGUGUUAAGAGCCUAUAGAAUAGACUGUAGAGGAAGUUAGAAAACAAGUGGAUUUGAUUUGAUUUGAUUUGAUUUGAUUGAAGCAAUUAAUUUUGUCAA